AGACGGAGGGGGCUAGCGUUGUUCGGAAUUACUGGGCGUAAAGGGCACGUAGGCGGCUUGUCUAGUCAGGCGUGAAAGCCCCGGGCUUAACCCGGGAAUUGCGCUUGAUACUGGCGAGCUAGAGUUCGGGAGAGGACAGUGGAAUUCUCAGUGUAGAGGUGAAAUUCGUAGAUAUUGGGAAGAACACCGGUGGCGAAGGCGGCUACCUGGACCGGUACUGACGCUAAGGUGCGAAAGCGCGGGGAGCAAACAGGAUUAGAUACCCCAGUAGUCC
rnacentral:rRNA from 1 species